CGGAUACCUAAUAAUUGAGCAAGAUUAGCAAAUGAGAAAAAAACAAAAGCAACCACUCUUCUAAGCAGCCAUCACCAUUAGAAAUUAAAUGGAGAUGAGGAUCGGAAAUAAUAAGCUUCAACAGAUCAAGCGGAUUGCCGGUCAAAUCGGAAGAACAAAUCGAAGACCCGCUCCAACGGAACUUCGCUCCUAAAUUCUCGUUCGGUCCUUGAUGCGGAAUCGAUGUUUAGAUUUGCCUAAUUUCGAUUUAUAUUAUGCUUGUGUCUUGGAUUGUUUGUUAGUAUUUUAGAUCAAAAUUAAAAGAUCAUAUAUUAGCUUUGUUAUAUGACUUUCCAAUUGUAAUUUACUCUUCAUCAAUAAAUUUUAUCUUUGAUAAAAAAAAAAAUUUAACAUUCUUCA